GCAUCACGUGGGCGGGCAGCGCGCCUGCGCAGUCGCACCCCACCGCCCCCUCCUUCGCCGUGGCGAUUCGCGGGAUCACGCCGACCUCGUGCUGCCCGGCUCCCACCCAGGGAGGGUCCUCGUGCGCCUGCGCCAAGGUUAUCUAAAGCCCCAGGAAAAAUGGUGGAAAAUUCACCGUCGCCAUUGCCAGAAAGAGCGAUUUAUGGCUUUGUUCUUUUCUUAAGCUCCCAGUUUGGCUUCAUACUUUACCUCGUGUGGGCCUUUAUUCCUGAAUCUUGGCUAAACUCUUUAGGUUUAACCUAUUGGCCUCAAAAAUAUUGGGCAGUUGCAUUACCUGUCUACCUCCUUAUUACUAUAGUAAUCGGCUACGUGCUCUUGUUUGGGAUUAACAUGAUGAGUACCUCUCCACUUGACUCCAUUCAUACAAUCACAGAUAGCUAUUCUAAAAAUCAACAGCAGAAGAAAUACCAAGAGGAGGCCAUUCCAGCAUUAAGAGAUAUUUCUAUUGGUGAAGUAAACCAGAUGUUCUUUCUUGCAGCCAAAGAACUUUACACCAAAAACUGAACUGAGUCAAAUCAUUGACCCAGAUAUUUUGAAUUAUCAAUAUGGAGAUCCUGUAACAACCUUAAAUUACUAGAAAGCCACCAUUGUUUACUAUUUUCAAAUUUUGGCCAUCUUGGACACUAUAAAGGACCACACACCAGUGACAGAUGCAUGACAAAUUUAAAAGGGCACCUCAGCUUUUGAAUGUGUGGCCACCGCCACCUUCAUGGCCCUGGACAGCUCGACACUAAAUUUCCAACCACCCCUUCCGGUAUGAUGAGGCUGCCUGGCCAUCCUCGGUGGGAUCAACCACACUCAGCUCUGUGGAAGAAGGAAUGCCCAGCACUGUUCCCCAGAGCCACCUGCAGCAACUGACAGCCGCCUGCCUCGGCUGCCGCUCCACCUGCUCAGGCCUGCCUUCAGAGUUGUCAGGUGAGAGGGGACAACUUUGCAAAGGCUGUGGCAGGAGGGACAGCAUCGCUACCCUGAGGCCCCAGGCCAGGAGGCCCUCACCUGGGCCUGCUGCGGGGAGAAGCUGUAACCACAAACCCCUUCUCUGGCUCCAGACCUGUCCUUUCCAGCCCACUGAUGGGGAGGACAGUGGGUGGCAGUGAGGACAGAACAGUGACACUAACGCUUACUUGAGGAAUGCUCAUUUACCUGGAGGCAUGCUCUUGUUCCACCUCUGGGGACCUCCCUCAGGCUAAUACACAGCUCUGUGGUCCCUGCUUCUCCCUCAGCAUCCUCUGACAAGGCCACCUCUCCUGGAUGCCACCCACAGAGCCCUGGGGACCCGGAUACUGGUCCCCAUGGGGCCCCUGUGAGAGUUGAGCAAGUUAUCAAUCACAUGCACUUCAGUAUCCUCAGCUGUUAAAUGGUGAUGAAAAUGGUAGUUCUGUCACAGGGCUGUUGUGAGGAUGAAACGAGCAAAAUACUUAGACCAGCACAUGGUGCAUAGGAAGGAUUCAACAAGUGUUACGUGAUUAUAUAAGUAUUAUUAUUGUUGUUUCAAAGACGCAAGCGUCUCUCAUGCAACCCAUGUCAGGAAGGCAGCUGGGAUCAGAAAUACAGACGAACAAGUAACUGUUAGGUUGGUGCAAAAGUCAUUGCAGAUUUUGCCAUUACUUUUAGUGGCAAAAUCGUCUAUGACUUUUGCACCAUCCUAAUAGCUAGUUAACAGGUCUCUCAGCUGCUCAUCUCUGUUCCUCCAACCACAGCUGUUUCAUUUCUUGUCCCACUACAGAUCAACUUUCUCUGCUACCCAGUCCUUAUGGCCAAAUGUGUCUGUCUAUCCUAGCUCCUCGAUGUUUGUAUUGUAGGCUCAGUGUGUUCCCUGGUUGGCUUCCCGCUUGCCCUGGGGAA